GUACCCAUGGUGUAGUGGUUAUCACAUUUGCCAAACACGCUAAGAUUGCAGGUUUGAAGCAUGUUGGGCACA